rnacentral:rRNA from 1 species
GCUCGUAGUUGAACCUUGGGCCUGGCUGGCCGGUCCGCCUCACCGCGUGUACUGGUCCGGCCGGGCCUUUCCCUCUGUGGAACCUCAUGCCCUUCACUGGGUGUGACGGGGAAACAGGACUUUUACUUUGAAAAAAUUAGAGUGCUCCAGGCAGGCCUAUGCUCGAAUACAUUAGCAUGGAAUAAUGAAAUAGGACGUGUGGUUCUAUUUUGUUGGUUUCUAGGACCGCCGUAAUGAUUAAUAGGGACAGUCGGGGGCAUCAGUAUUCAAUUGUCAGAGGUGAAAUUCUUGGAUUUAUUGAAGACUAACUACUGCGAAAGCAUUUGCCAAGGAUGUUUUCAUUAAUCAGGAACGAAAGUUAGGGGAUCGAAGACGAUCAGAUACCGUCGUAGUCUUAACCAUAAACUAUGCCGACUAGGGAUCGGACGAUGUUAUUUUUUGACGCGUUCGGCACCUUACAAGAAAUCAAAGUGCUUGGGCUCCAGGGGGAGUAUGGUCGCAAGGCUGAAACUUAAAGAAAUUGACGGAAGGGCACCACCAGGGGUGGAGCCUGCGGCUUAAUUUGACUCANCACNGGGAAACUCACCAGGUCCAGACACAAUGAGGAUUGACAGAUUGAGAGCUCUUUCUUGAUUUUGUGGGUGGNGGUGCAUGGCCGUUNUANUUGGUGGAGUGAUUUGUCUGCUUAAUUGCGAUAACGAACAAGACCUUCACCUGCUAANUANCCCGUAUUGCUUUGGCAGUACGCUGGCUUCUUAGA